rnacentral:rRNA from 1 species
UGGGGAAUAUUGCACAAUGGGCGCAAGCCUGAUGCAGCGACGCCGCGUGCGGGAUGGAGGCCUUCGGGUUGUAAACCGCUUUUGUUUCAAGGGCAAGGCAGGCUUUCGGGCCUGUUGAGUGGAUUGUUCGAAUAAGCACCGGCUAACUACGUGCC